AUUGAACGCUGGCGGAAUGCUUUACACAUGCAAGUCGAACGGCAGCACGGGGCAACCCUGGUGGCGAGUGGCGAACGGGUGAGUAAUACAUCGGAACGUGCCCAAUCGUGGGGGAUAACGUAGCGAAAGCUACGCUAAUACCGCAUACGAUCUACGGAUGAAAGCGGGGGAUCGCAAGACCUCGCGCGAAUGGAGCGGCCGAUGGCAGAUUAGGUAGUUGGUGGGGUAAAGGCGUCACCAAGCCUACGAUCUCGUAGCUGGUCUGAGAGGACGACCAGCCACACUGGGACUGAGACACGGCCCAGACUCCUACGGGAGGCAGCAGUGGGGAAUUUUGGACAAUGGGCGCAAGCCUGAUCCAGCCAUUCCGCGUGCAGGAUGAAGGCC
rnacentral:rRNA from 1 species